rnacentral:rRNA from 1 species
UCGGGAAUUUUGGGCAAUGGGCGAAAGCCUGACCCAGCAACGCCGCGUGAAGGAUGAAGUAUUUCGGUAUGUAAACUUCGAAAGAAUAGGAAGAAUAAAUGACGGUACUAUUUAUAAGGCCCGGCUAACUACGUGCCAGCAGCCGCGGUAAUACGUAGGGACCAAGCGUUGUUCGGAUUUACUGGGCGUAAAGGGCGCGUAGGCGGCAAUUCAAGUCAUCUGUGAAAUCUCCGGGCUUAACUCGGAACGGUCAGAUGAUACUGCUUUGCUAGAGUGCAGAAGGGGCAAUCGGAAUUCUUGGUGUAGCGGUGAAAUGCGUAGAUAUCAAGAGGAACACCUGAGGUGAAGACGGGUUGCUGGGCUGACACUGACGCUGAGGCGCGAAAGCCAGGGGAGCAAACGGGAUUAGAUACCCAAGUAGUCCCUGAGCGGGCUGGCAAGGCGCAU